UGAAUUCAAGAAGGAGUGAUACCAAAGAGCCCUGCAAGCUGUCAGAGAGGUGUCAAAAGUUGGGAAGGAGAAGAAAGACAAAAUCAUGAAGGGAGCAAUCCACCAGAGCAUAUCUUGCAUAUCUGUGAUAUCUUGCAACUGACAGCUGUUCAGGCUCACACCUGUCCCUGCCCUGCUCUCUGCCUGCCUUUCACAUGGCCCCUAAUCCCCCUCAUGUCUCAGCUCCAGUUCUGGCUGCAGGGAAGGGCACUCUCAGCCAGAAGGGUAUCAUGGGGCACUGGCUAUGUCCUGUGGGGGACAUGAGCAGCAUCACCCCCAUUGUGUGCUGCUGGCAGUGCUUUUCCUCUGGAGCACAAGAAACUGAAUGCUUCCCCUCCAGCCCUGCAUCAGCCUCUUUUCAUCAAUCACUUGGGCAUGUAAGUAUCAAGGCCAGGCACUAACAAUGUCAGCACGCACAAGCACAAAUGCUUUUUUCACUCCACAUCUGAAUAUGGACGAUUUGAUUUCCUUUUCCAGAAGGGCUCCUUCGAUGACUCACAGAAAGGCAGCAAACAGCUUAGCUGGGUUUGCCUAGUGCUAUAUUAAGCCACCAAGUGUGUUUGGACAUAACAGCCCCUGGCUGUGCCGGGAACAUGCCCUGCGUGAGCUUUAUCCCGAGCCGGGAGGGUGCCAGGCUGCAGGACUGGGCAGUCAGAUAGGGUGGUCACCUUCAGAGAUUACUCAGGGUUAGGGUCUAAGGUCAGUUUAAUGUGCUGGCUGCUCUGGCCACGGCUGCAGGAGGGCGAGAUGAAAGCCCCACACACGUGGUGUGUGUUAGGGGUGACUGUCUGUGCCUGCGCCCCUUCGCUGGGCCAGGGGAAUGAGCUCCUGGGGGUGUCUGAGCUCCUGUCAGUGACUGUUUUGAUGGCUUUUGUGCAUCCCAUAGCACCAUAGAGAGUAAGGGAUAGCUUCCUGGCUCUCACUUCCUCACUUAAUGAAUCCCACCACUAAUUAGCUGACAGUAACAUGCAGCUAUUCUGGACUGUAGGUGGAUCUUACCGAGGUCAUAAUGGUUGCGGGUAAUGUAAUUUAUUACCCUGGGAGGUGCUUUGGGAUACAGCGCAUGAAGACCACUCGGGAAGUGCCAAAGCAGUAUUACAAGUCAGUAUUUUCCCCGGUAAGGUAAUAUGUUCCAUACUCGCUGUGCGUUGGAGAAAUAAAGCAUCGAAGUUCCCCUGGCUCCAGUGCAACGCUGUCAAGGUUUCCAAACACAUUGGUGGAAACAGAGAACUACUGUGCUAGAGAGGUGGGUCCCUCUUCGGAGCAAAAGGAGUGCAGGGCUUUCAUUUUUUCUCCGUCACGCAGCUCUGAAAGCAAAACCUGCCCUGAUUGAAAGGUGCCUGAGCUCCUGACAGAGGAGUUGAGCUGGGGCUGCCCAGCAGCUGGGGUCAGCAGCCCGGCCACACUGGGGCUCUGGCUGUACUCCGGGUGAACUCGACCAAAUUAGCUGUACAUGGUGCUGCAUUCCCUCAUUUCUCAGAGGAUCAAAGCUGCUGGAUCGAGUCCCAGCUUUCUGCAGAUAAGCAGGUCACAGGAUUAGUUUGCACCUAUUUGCUGCUUGUAAUACACCGUGUUACAGAUUCCUCUGUAUUUCCUGGGUUGUACCCAUACGCACUGGAUGCUUGUGGUCACAUUUUUUCACUUUAGUCGCCUGAGCUAAUCUAGUGACCCGAGAUACUUCUACAGACUCCCAACAUCACCGCAGAUUCCCUGGCACUGUUACACUGACUAUAAACUGCUACUGCUAUUCUUGCCCCAGCCCUCUUUAUGAUUCCCUUGUUUUAUAUAAAAAGCUCUUUCUACCACUCAAAAGGCUUCUCUCAUAACCAGAGCAGCACGGGGGCAGGUGCAGCAGCUCUGGCUUUGAUUAAGCCGUUUCUGAAUGGUGGAGGAAGAAACACGAGACUAUCUAGUUUGCCUAAAGAGUUUACCUGUCAGUACAAGCAGACACAUAUUGAAACUAUGCAGUGGUCCUACAGGUCGUCUACACUCCCAAUAGCUGAAUCCCAUAUGCAAUGUCCCUCAGCUCUGUGCAUCUGCAGGUAGCUGGCAGAUUGCAGCCACACCGGACGUGCAGGACCACAGGAGGGAAAACAGCCUGCUGCAUACCUGACGGUGGACACUGCCUCAUGCAGGCAUGAGCAAGGGUGCAGCUGGGUGACCUGCAAACACAGCCUGUCAGACUUGGCAGGUUUGCUGACAUUAACACUGGGAGAGCUCCUGAGCUAUCCGAGCACCAACAGACGGACCAUCAGCACAGGUUGUGUCUACUGACCUCCACAGCAGUUUUCAGUAAGGAAAGCUGAAUGAGCAGAUCCUAACCUAUUUGUUAGGCCACAUGCAUUUAACUGCAUUAACCACUUCCCUUCAUGCAUGUGGAACGAAAACUCUACAAUGCCUGAACAUGGCCUUUACUCCUACAGGCAACACACGGACAUCUGAGUUUCUGCACAAAUCCAAAGGCCAGAACCUCCUGAAACAUGCAGCUCUCUGGUCAAGUGCAGUCUUGAGUGUUAAUGACUAGCACAAUUGAAUUCUUACCCCUUUUGCUUACCUCUGGGCUGGACUUAGUCAAUAUUUUCACAUAAUAACAAGCCAGUAGUCAACACCAUCAGUGUUGAACUCCUUCCUAUGAACCUUGCCUGCUUGAACUAUAGAGCAAGUCACAGCUAAAAUACAUGGCAGAGAGGAAAGAGCCCCACGGCACACGCACAGAAGGUAUGCAACUACUGCUCAGAAACCAGAAAGAAUUCAUUUGUAGCCACAAAGACUGCAAGAUAAAGAAAGUUGAUGAAGCUCUGGUGGAAAGAGACCUGUGAAGGACAAAGAGGCAAUCAAAAACAGCUGGUAUGAAUUUAUGAAGGACAAAUCAUAUUUGACCAACCUGACUGCAUCCUAUGAUGAAGUAGCUGGCUACAUGGAGAAGGAAAGAGCAAGUGGAUAUAACAGAUCUUGACUUCAGUCAAGCUUUUGAAAUCAUUUCCAGCAGCAUUUUCACUCACAAACUGAGGAAAUAUGGCAUGAGCAAGCUGGCUGUUGGAUGAAUUGAAAACCUCCUGUACUGCUGGGCUCAGUGGGUAGCAAUUGAUAGCUUGAUAACCUGCCUGGAUGCCUACAGCAGGUUGAAUACUCUAGGGGUUGAUACUAGGGCUCACAUAGUUCGUUAUCUUCAUCAGAAACCUGGACAGUGAGACAGGACAUACCCUCAGCCUACUUUCAGAUAAUGCUAGGGUAGGGGGAAUGAUUGACACACUAAAAAAUAGAGCUUCAGUUCUGAAGGACUUUGAGAAAUUUAAGGGCUGGGCUGCCAGAAGGCUUAACAGGUUCAAGGAGAAAUAUGCAACCCUGCACCUAAGGUAGAAUAAGCCCUUCUGUUGGUACCAGCUGUGAAGAAUGGAGCUGGUGAUCAGCUCUGCUGAGAAGAACCUGGGGUUAUGUGAAACCCAAGGCCAAUAUGAGCAACAGCAUGCUCAUCCCAAAGAAGGCAAACCACAGAGUAGGCCUAUAUUAGGGGCAUGGCCAGCUGACAGAGGGGGACAGUUGACCUGUCCCCCUUUGCUUGGUGGUGGUGAGGCCCUGCCAGGACAGUGUCCAGUUGGGUGCUGCUUCAGUUCAAGUGGAGUGUCUACAGAGAAGGUCUACCAAGAUGAUCACCGUCUAAAUCACUUCCCACAGAGGCUGACGGAGCUGGGCCUAUCUCGUCUGUUGAAGAAUGCAAGGGGUCACAUAGUAACAGCCUACAGCUACUUGAAGGGGGUUACAAAUAAGGCAGCUAAACGCUUCUUGGUAAUACUAGGCAAUAGAACAACGCACAAUGGCCAGAAAUGGCUUGGGAUGUCCAAGGAGGAUAUUAUUUACUUGGAAGACAGUUAACCCAGAUAAAUAAAAUGUUGUCCUGUUUUGUUUUGUUUUGGAGGGGAGAACUAGGGACUGGAUGGUUUUGAGAGCUGUCAAGGCAACACUGUAAUCAGACCUACUUUCAGUGGGGAGGCUGGACUGUGCAAUGUUCAAAGGACCCUUCCAACCAACCAACAUUUCUGUGAUUGUAUACAAAUGUAAAACUGAUGUCUUCCCUUGUUUAUUGUGGGAAGAUAGCUUUUAAAGUGUGAUCAAAAUGCGCCUGGGCUGUAUUAUUUAUUUGGGAGUGUGUUUAAGCAUACAUGGGAGCAAAAAAUAAAAAUACUCUGCCAUCUGUUGA